rnacentral:lncRNA from 1 species
GCCCCAUCGAUCUAAACUUCUCCUGAAGAAUUCUAUAUCACAGCUUCCAAUGAUAGGGCCGUAGGCUCAAUGGUAGGAGUGGCAUGCUCUUCUUCCUUGAUCACAGAUCUCAUUUCAGCAAUCGAAACCACAAUCUAUCUUUUAUGAGUCAGAAUUUGCUCAAGUCUCUUCAUACGUUAUGAAUCCAUCUUGCUCUAGAGAAUUAUGAUGAAUAAUCAGUACAAAAAUGAUCUGCAGCUACCUCUGCAGAUCUGCAGCUAUCUGUGCCUUCAAAGUGCAAAUUUAAAGGAGGAAGAAAAUGAAAUACUUUCACAAAAUAAUUAAAACCUCGGAGAGAUUGUCAUCUGAGUGGUCCCAUCAGUUAUACCCAUUCGCAUCAGUCGCAUUAGGCUGACAUCACAAGCUUUAAAUGUAGAAGGCAGGCA